UAGGGUGCGAGCGUUAAUCGGAAUUACUGGGCGUAAAGCGUGAGCAGGCGGGCUUUUAAGCCAGAAGUGAAAUCCCUGGGCUUAACCUGGGAAUGGCGUUUGGGACUGGGAGUCUGGAGUGCGGCAGAGGAGACUGGAAUUCCUGGUGUAGCAGUGAAAUGCGUAGAUAUCCGGAGGAACACCGAUGGCGAAGGCAGGUCUCUGGGCUGACACUGACGCUCAUGCACGAAAGCGUGGGGAGCAAACAGG
rnacentral:rRNA from 1 species